AUUUACAAGUGCAUUAGGUCUCUUAGGUUUUAGUUUAAGACCAACAUGAGCGAGUGAGAUAAACUCGACUAGCUUAGGAUAAGGCAUCAAGCGUGGGAUCCACGCACUAGACCCCUCAGGAUCGGACCCCAAACCUUUUUUCAAUGCCAAAUGUGAAAUUAUCCCCACCUUACCACAUCGUUGAAGAGUUAUGGUGGAUAUCUUGGGCAAAUGUGCAUUUUCUUGGUGGAUAUCUUGGGCAAAUGUGCAAUACCAUGACGGAUAUCUUGGGCAAAUGUGUGUUUUCUUGGUGGAUAUCUUGGGCAAAUGUGCAAUAUUAUGAGGGAUGUCUUGGAAAAUAUCUUGGAUAAAUUG